rnacentral:rRNA from 1 species
UACGAGGGGGGCAAGCGUUACUCGGAAUUACUGGGCGUAAAGCGUGCGUAGGUGGUGAGUUAAGUCUGUCGUGAAAGCCCCGGGCUCAACCUGGGAAUGGCGAUGGAUACUGGCUCGCUAGAGUGCGGUAGAGGAGAGUGGAAUUCCCGGUGUAGCAGUGAAAUGCGUAGAGAUCGGGAGGAACAUCAGUUGCGAAGGCGGCUCUCUGGACCAGCACUGACACUGAGGCACGAAAGCGUGGGGAGCAAACAGGA